CUAGGUUACUGAUUAGUAAGCAACUCCCUUCACCUGGUUGUCUAGGUAACUAAUUAGUAAGGAACUCCCCUCACCUGGUUGUCUAGGUUACUAAUUAGUAAGCAACUACCUUCACCUGGUUGUCUGGGUAACUAAUUAGUAAGGAACUCCCCUCACCUGGUUGUCUAGGUUACUAAUUAGUAAGGAACUGCCCUCACCUGGUUGUCUAGGCUACUAAUUAGUAAGGAACUGCCCUCACCUGGUUGUCUAGGCUACUAAUUAGUAAGGACCUGCCCUCACCUGGUUGUCUAGGCUACUAAUUAGUAAGGAACUGCCCUCACCUGGUUGUCUAGGCUACUAAUUAGUAAGGAACUGCCCUCACCUGGUUGUCUAGGCUACUAAUUAGUAAGGAACUGCCCUCACCUGGUUGUCUAGGCUACUAAUAGUAAGGAACUGCCCUCACCUGGUUGUCUAGGCUACUAAUUAGUAAGGAACUGCCCUCACCUGGUUGUCUAGGUUACUAAUUAGUAAGGAACUGCCCUCACCUGGUUGUCUAGGCUACUAAUUAGUAAGGAACUCCCCUCACCUGGUUGUCUAGGCUACUAAUUAGUAAAGAACUGCCAUCACCUGGUUGUCAAGGCUACUAAUUAGUAAGGAACUGCCCUCACCUGGUUGUCUAACUCUUUGAGAGGAAACACCAGACCUGACAUUAGACAGUCAUUCAUAAGGGAGGGAGGGAGAAACAUUUUAAGACUGUUGGGACUAGCUUUUAGCUAGUGAGUCAUGACGUCAUGAUACCCUCAGUGUUAGAGACAGCAUCUAUUGAGAGAACCCUGCUGAAAACUAGUGAGUCAUGACACCCUCAGUGUUAGAGACAGCAUCUAUUGAGAGAACCCUGCUGAAGACUAGUGAGUCAUGACACCCUCAGUGUUAGAGACAGCAUCUAUUGAGAGAACCCUGCUGAAGACUAGUGAGUCAUGACAUCAUGAUGCCCUCAGUGUUAGACAACAUCUAUUGAGAGAACCCUGCUGAAGACUAGUGAGUCAUGACAUCAUGUUUCCCUCAGUGUUAGACAGCAUCUAUUGAGAGAACCCUGCUGAAGACUAGUGAGUCAUGACGUCAUGAUGCCCUCAGUGUUAGAGACAGCAUCUAUUGAGAGAACCCUGCUGAAGACUAGUGAGUCAUGACAUCAUGAUGCCCUCAGUGUUAGACAACAUCUAUUGAGAGAACCCUGCUGAAGACUAGUGAGUCAUGACAUCAUGAUGCCCUCAGUGUUAGAGACAGCAUCUAUUGAGAGAACCCUGCUGAAGACUAGUGAGUCAUGACAUCAUGAUGCCCUCAGUGUUAGAGACAGCAUCUAUUGAGAGAACCCUGCUGAAGACUAGUGAGUCAUGACAUCAUGAUGCCCUCAGUGUUAGACAGCAUCUAUUGAGAGAACCCUGCUGAAGACUAGUGAGUCAUGACAUCAUGAUGCCCUCAGUGUUAGAGACAGCAUCUAUUGAGAGAACCCUGCUGAAGACUAGUGAGUCAUGACAUCAUGAUGCCCUCAGUGUUAGAGACAGCAUCUAUUGAGAGAACCCUGCUGAAGACUAGUGAGUCAUGACAUCAUGAUGCCCUCAGUGUUAGACAGCAUCUAUUGAGAGAACCCUGCUGAAGACUAGUGAGUCAUGACGUCAUGAUGCCCUCAGUGUUAGACAGCAUCUAUUGAGAGAACCCUGCUGAAGACUAGUGAGUCAUGACGUCAUGAUGCCCUCAGUGUUAGAGACAGCAUCUAUUGAGAGAACCCUGCUGAAGACUAGUGAGUCAUGACAUCAUGAUGCCCUCAGUGUUCGAGACAGCAUCUAUUGAGAGAACCCUGCUGAAGACUUGAACUCAGGCUAAGAUGCUAUUUAUGAAACGAAAUGUCGUGUAUAUAGAAAUGCAUUCCUCAAUGGUGUUAUUAUUGUUAAAGCUUUAUUUAACUUGGCAAGUCAGUUAAGAACAAAUUCUUAUUUACAAAGACGGCCUACAGGGGCAGAACGACUGAUUUUAACCUUGUUCAGCUCGGGGAUUCGAUCCAUCAACUUGCCCAUCUCUCUAACCACUAGGCUACCUGCCUCCCAAGCAGUAUGGUUGAUUCACUAUCAGGUUUUCAUUCUGAGUGUUAAAUUUAUUGAAUUGAUCUGAUGAGUAUUGUAGAUGUGUGGAAACAGGAGAGGCAGGGCUGUGGUCAGAGGAUGUUGCUGACAGACAGAAGGUUGUAGAUGUGGGGAAACAGGAGAGGCAGGGCUGUGGUCAGAGGAUGUUGCUGACAGACAGAAGGUUUUAGAUGUGGGGAAACAGGAGAGGCAGGGCUGUGGUCAGAAUGUUGCUGACAGACAGAAGGUUGUAGACGUGUGGAAACAGGAGAGGCAGGGCUGUGGUCAGAGGAUGUUUCUGACAGACAGAAGGUUGUAGAUGUGUGGAAACAGGAGAGGCAGGGCUGUGGUCAGAGGAUGUUGCUGACAGGCAGAAGGUUGUAGAUGUGUGGAAACAGGAGAGGCAGGGCUGUGGUCAGAGGAUGUUGCUGACAGGCAGAAGGCUGUAGAUGUGUGGAAACAGGAGAGGCAGGGCUGUGGUCAGAGGAUGUUGCUGACAGACAGAAGGUUGUAGACGUGUGGAAACAGGAGAGGCAGGGCUGUGGUCAGAGGAUGUUGCUGACAGAC
ensembl:lncRNA